rnacentral:rRNA from 1 species
ACCAAAAACAUAGCUAACUGCUAUUACUUAAAGUAAACGUAUAGUUAGUGAAACCUGCCCACUGAUAGUCCAUAAACCAUAAAGGCUAUUUAAAGGCCGCGGUAACUCUGACCGUGCUAAGGUAGCAUAAUCAAUCGCCUCCUAAUUAGAGGCUAGAAUGAAGGGGAUUACGAGCUUCUCUCUGUCUCAAACUUAGAUUUAUUGAAAUUUAGUACUUUGUUAAGACGCAAAGAACUCCUGACUAGACGAGAAGACCCCGUCGAGCUUUAUUUCUAUCUAUUAAUUUAAAAUAUUCCAACUGAGAAAGUUUAACCCGAUAGAGAAGAAAUUUAGUUGGGGUGACUACCCGAAUAAUAGAAACUUGGGUGAACAAGGGUGAUUAAUCUCAUAAUUUAGCUUUAUUCAUAGGAAGACAUUUCAGUGAAUUACUAAACUUUAAGUAAGUUAAAUAACCCGCUUUAUCUUUAAAGCGAUUACGAAUAAAAGCUACCGCGGGGAUAACAGGGUAAUUUAGACCUAGAGCUCCUAUCGAAGUCUAAGUUUGCCACCUCGAUGUUGA